GACGAACGCUGGCGGCAUGCCUAACACAUGCAAGUCGAGCGAGCAGAUCCCUUCGGGGUGAAGCUAGCGGCGGACGGGUGAGUAACACGUGGGCAACCUGCCUCAUAGAGGGGAAUAGCCUUCCGAAAGGAAGAUUAAUACCGCAUAAGAUUGUAGCUUCGCAUGAAGUAGCAAUUAAAGGAGCAAUCCACUGUGAGGUGGGCCCGCGGCGCAUUAGCUAGUUGGUGAGGUAACGGCUCACCAAGGCGGCGAUGCGUAGCCGACCUGAGAGGGUGAUCGGCCACAUUGGGACUGAGACACGGCCCAGACUCCUACGGGAGGCAGCAGUGGGGAAUAUUGCACAAUGGGGGAAACCCUGAUGCAGCAAUGCCGCGUGAGUGAUGACGGCCUUCGGGUUGUAAAGCUCUGUCUUCGGGGACGAUAAUGACGGUACCCGAGGAGGAAGCCACGGCUAACUACGUGCCAGCCGCCGCCGUAA
rnacentral:rRNA from 1 species